rnacentral:rRNA from 1 species
CGCGUAGGCGGUCUUUUAAGUCAGAUGUGAAAGCCCGGGGCUUAACCUCGGAAGUGCAUUUGAAACUGGAGGACUUGAGUAUGGGAGAGGGAAGUGGAAUUCCUGGUGUAGAGGUGAAAUUCGUAGAUAUCAGGAGGAACAUCGGUGGCGAAGGCGACUUCCUGGACCAAUACUGACGCUGAGGCGCGAAGGCGUAGGGAGCAAACAGGAUUAGAUACCCUGGUAGUCC